rnacentral:rRNA from 1 species
UGUGCCAGCAGCCGCGGUAAUACGGAGGGUGCGAGCGUUAAUCGGAAUUACUGGGCGUAAAGCGCAUGCAGGUGGUUUGUUAAGUCAGAUGUGAAAGCCCGGGGCUCAACCUCGGAAGGUCAUUUGAAACUGGCAAACUAGAGUACUGUAGAGGGGGGUAGAAUUUCAGGUGUAGCGGUGAAAUGCGUAGAGAUCUGAAGGAAUACCAGUGGCGAAGGCGGCCCCCUGGACAGAUACUGACACUCAGAUGCGAAAGCGUGGGGA